UAAGAAUCCCCAAUUUCUCUUGUGCGGUCAGGGAUUAACCGCUGCCGCCGGAGAAGUAUGCCUCAGCCCUCAGGUGAGGGAGAGUCGCUGGGGAGCGUCGUCGCGGUUGGAUGGACGCCGCCCUUUUGCCUUGUGACGGAGGAAGCCGCGGAUGAGGGCGCGCUGCGCCAUGCGCGUGCGCCUGAGGGCGCUGCCGUCGCGUUGCCGCUGUGCCUCUUCCAGCCCCAGCCAUUCAUCCGCUCUGGCCGUUGCAUCCCGUGGAUGAGCAGCCGAGGCGCCUGGACGCGGGAGCCGCUAGCGAUGUUGCAGAUCGUUUGAUCCAGUGCAAGAAAAACUGAACUUUUCUUCCUUGGUCAAGGAUCUCUUCCGGUUGAUGCUUCAGCCAUCUAUUCAUCUCACCAUGUCCACAUACUAUGUGCAGAAAAGCAGUUAAUCUUCAGAUCAUGGGAAGAACAAAAAUUAAACGGAAUUAGUGUUUCCUGAUUGAUUUCCCGAUGCUCGUUCAGGCAGUCGCUGUGCUGACGCCGUUUAAGGGUUCGUGCUUGACUCAUUGGCUACAGCCGCCGCCGACUGGUAGGGUCCCGCUGAUGGUGUCUGCGCCACCGGGAGGAGCGAGGCCGCAUCACCCCGCGCCGGAGGACGCCCCAUGCGCCAGAGGGCGCCUCGUGUGGUGCUUAUGUGCGGGUGACCGUGCCGCCGGGCGAGGACUGCGGUGUCGCGCGCCCGCCGGUGGCCACCGCGCUGUAGGGCUAGAACAGAGGCGUCUCCUAUGCUUUUGUGGCCUUCACACUCUCGGUAGAGCCGAGUGCUGAUUGUUGUAAUAUCAAAGUAAAGGAGACAAAGAAGAGACACAAAUAAUUCUCUUAGUCUAUUGCAAGUCUAUUGCAAUGUGUGAGACCCACUCAUAUACAGGCUGAAGGGGUGUGUUGGGGAGACACCUCUUUCCCAACAGAUACUUUUUGGGAGGCAUUCCUCCCAUAUAAUUGAUCACAUGUUUUAUUUUUUAACA